UACGUAGGGCGCAAGCGUUGUCCGGAAUUAUUGGGCGUAAAGAGCUCGUAGGCGGCCUGUUGCGUCCGCUGUGAAAUCCCGGGGCUUAACCCCGGGCUUGCAGUGGAUACGGGCAGGCUGGAGGCAGGCAGGGGAGAACGGAAUUCCCGGUUUAGCGGUGAAAUGCGCAGAUAUCGGGAGGAACACCGGUGGCGAAGGCGGUUCUCUGGGCCUGUACUGACGCUGAGGAGCGAAAGCGUGGGGAGCGAACAGG
rnacentral:rRNA from 1 species